rnacentral:rRNA from 1 species
UACGUAGGUGGCGAGCGUUGUCCGGAAUUAUUGGGCGUAAAGCGCGCGCAGGCGGGAAUCUAGGUCUGUCUUAAAAGUGCAGGGCUUAACCCUGUGAUGGGACAGAGACUGGAUUUCUUGAGUGCAGGAGAGGACAGUGGAAUUCCCAGUGUAGCGGUGAAAUGCGUAGAUAUUGGGAGGAACACCAGUGGCGAAGGCGACUGUCUGGACUGUGUCUGACGCUGAGGCGCGAAAGCCAGGGAAGUGAACGGGAUUAGAUACCCCGGUAAUCCUGGCCGUAAACGAUGGGUACUAGGUGUUGGGGGUAUCGACCCCUCCAGUGCCGGAGCUAACGCAUUAAGCACCCCGCCUGGGGAGUACGUACGCAAGUAUGAA